AGGCGUGGCUGAAUAGUUACACUGUUCGCUUUGUAAGCGGAUGAUCAUAGGUUCGAUUCCUAUCUCCU
rnacentral:tRNA from 1 species